rnacentral:lncRNA from 1 species
GGCACAAAACGUGCGUAGAGCCUUAAAGAUCGACCAUAAUAGCUGAUUGCCGGAAGGGAAAUCGCAAGCGACGAAGGAGAUGGUGAAGAUGGCGCUUCCCUAAUCUUUUUAGCUUUGUCCGUGUCACCACUUUGGGCAGAUACAAAGCCUAAUAAACAGAAAAUCAAUAAGUGCAAUGCCCACUUUUUGUCGAAAGCUAUUCGUUACCCAUCAAUUAAAAAAGAAAGGUGGGGUCCACUUAGUUUCCGACUUUUAUAAUAUACUCCCUCCGUUCCUAAAUGAUUCAUGUUUUAGAAAAAUAUUUUGUUUCUAAAAGAUCCAUAUUUUACAUUUUCAAUGUAUGUAAUAAUGAAAAAUUGUAAAUUUCAAAAACAUUAAUUGUGUUUACUGAAUUUUGAUUGGUUAAAAAUCAUAAGAAAUAGCUAAACACAGAAAAUCAUACAUUUAUUAUCAAAAUUUUAAGUGUUUUCUUAAUAAGUGUGAAAAUUCUAAAACAUAGAUUAUUUAGGAACAGAGGGAGUAUAUAUUAGUUUCGACCAUUAAUGUACAAAGUAUCCUUUAGAGCAUUGGUAUAGUUGUGGGUGCUUAUAUCUCAAUAACACAGGUUCGAGCCAUAUAUUUGAUAUUUUUUCACACUUUUAAAAAGUGGGACCCAUAAACCGCUGACGUGUCGCAUCAGGAGGAGAGAAACUCUCGUAUUAUAUAAUAGAUUUUCUUUAAACGUUAUUUAUAUAGCAAAAUCAUUUAUAAUGGUACGCCAAAUUUUACACUAUAAACAGAAUACUGUAAAAACAGGAUUUUUUUAAUUCCUAUAGUUAACUCUAUUUUUAAGUCCUAGAUUGGUGGUGGGUUGCAAGAUCUAUCGACAAUGAUGAGAAUUCAGUUCCUCCACAAAAUCU